rnacentral:rRNA from 1 species
CACGUAGGGUGCGAGCGUUGUCCGGAAUCACUGGGCGUAAAGGGCGCGUAGGCGGCCCUCCUUGUCGCGUGUGAAAGCCCCGGGCUCAACCUGGGAACGGCGCGCGAGACGGGGGGGCUGGAGUUCGGGAGAGGAGCGUGGAAUUCCCAGUGUAGAGGUGAAAUUCGUAGAUAUUGGGAAGAACACCGGUGGCGAAGGCGGCGCUCUGGACCGAGACUGACGCUGAGGCGCGAAAGCGUGGGGAGCAAACAGG